AGCAGGGAAUAUACAGAGAGCAAGAGGAAUAGCUAUCUUGAGUAGCCUGUCCAUGCAGUCUGCUAUGAACUCUUCCCAGAUUCCAUUUAUCUCAAAGGAGAAGAAACAGGCUGAUCUGCAUUCAGCAAGUGACUGCCCCAGCGCCUCUGCAGUGUGAAGAUUUGAAAUCGACUUUCUCCCUGGAGGAUGUUUCUUGGAUGCAGGAGGGGAAGAAAAGUCAGCUAAGCCAAGCCAUCUUUAAAGAUCUUCUCUCGGAAGCAAGGGUCGCCAGAAAAGCCAGAGUGGAGACUGCAGGGAGUACGGAUUUGAAUGAACUUUGGCUGCUCCAUCAAGCAUGCUGAUCACUGAGGAAACAUCAGAAGCCUCACCCAAGUGACUCAUCCCCCAAAUCCAACAGAGGAGAUGGUGGAUGUUCACUAAGCUUAUUGCGGUACCCAUUUCAUGAUGUACGUAAGUCAAAUCAUUAUGCUGUACACCUGAAAUUUAUACAGUGCUGUAUGUCAGUUAUAGCUCAAUAAAACUGGAAGAAAAAAACCCCAAACAAACAAAAAAGAAGGAUAGAGUGAUCUGUAAUUUUAAAUGCUGCUAAUAGAUUCAGUCAAAUGAGAACUAAGAAUUGAUCACUGGACUGGCAGAAUGGAGAUAAUUUGUUACCUUAACACACAUCGUUUACUAGUGUGCAAAAAGCAAAGUAUCUGAUUAGAAUGGGUUGAGGAAAAAAUGAAAGUGAAAAAAAAAAAAGAAUGGAGUAACAUUUUUGAGCAGCCUUGCCAUAAAGGGCAUCAGAAAAAUGGAGUGGUUGGUGGAAGGCAGUGAGGGAUCUGGUUGAUGGUGAUAUCACUAUUUAUAUGCUGAUGGGAAUAAUUCAGUGGGUGAAUCAUGAAGAUGGGCAGGAAAUGAGUUUUGAGGGAUUUUCCCCCCUCUUUUACUAUUCCUAUAUUUGUAGAUAGAGAUCUUGCAAUCCAGGAGGUUAAAUGAGUUAUCCAAAAUCACACUACAAGCUAGUAGGCUAAGCUUGCAGAUUUCCAGUUCAGAACUACCCUUGCCACCCACAUUGCUUGAGUGUGUCUAAUCUCUGGGCUAGGGUACUUGGGAAGGUAUAUAAAAUUCAACUUAUCUAUUUUCAUAUUUUCUUUAAGAAUUUCAAAGAUGAGAAAAAUUUCAGAAAACAAGUAAUAAAUCAUACCAAAAUGUUGAGUAGCUGAAUUUUUGGUAUAGACAUUAAUUUUAGUAGCCAUACAAGGAAAAAAUAGUGAUGACUGAGUCAUUGGUGGAAAGUAUUUCGGGUAAAAAGAAAAACAUAAAAGGUAGACAUUCAAGAAUGAUUCUAGUAUCUUCACAAGGCAGUCAAGUAUGCAAAUUUGAUUAGAACCAGGACAAGGGAUGGGUAGCAACUGAAAAUGAAGUUGGUAGAGAAGAUGAUUUCAACCUGUUAUUCAAGGAUGCUAAAGACCUGGGAGAAGUUUUAGCUAAUUGUGGUAGAAAAUGGGGAGUUACUGAAGAUUUCUGAGGGGAGGAGUUGGAUGACCUCACACUAAUUUUAUUUGUGGAAAGGGAUGGGAGAAUCCCUAAAAAUCUGAAGGUUUCUAAGUCAGAGCGGGAUAUGGAGGUGCUAGCAGUAGGAAUUAGUGAAGGAGAAAAAGGUCAUAGGAGAUGUUCAGUUCAGUUUGAAUUAUGGUCAAAUAUACAACAAGAAAUGGACAAGAGACAUUUGGAAUCACAAGCUCGGUGCUCAGAUAAACAGGAGGAUUUAAAGUUAGAAUUUUAUGAGGCUAUCACAUAAAGUUGUGUUGAAUCUAUGAUUAUAUAGUACAAGAGUUCUUUUGGGUAAUGGAAGAAUGGGGACUCAAGACAGAGUUGUUGAGAAUAUUCACACUCUAAUUUCUUUAAGCUUGCAUUUCGCCUACUCUGAACUGUGGUUAAUAUUACCCACCCCACCUACCAUAUUCACAGUUGUUGUGAGGCUUUCGAGAAAUGAGAGAUGUGAACAUUCUAUGAAAAACUGUGGUGUUAUUUCAGAUGUAGUGUGAAAUUGCAAUGACAAAUGAUAUAAACAUGAUCAAAUAGGAUAGCGUUUCAAGUUAUCUAAAAAAUAAUGAGAUUGAGAAAAGGUGCAAUUAUGUAUCCGUAAAAAUGGCUUUAAUAUGCUUAGUUGAGACUGGCUGUUGGAUCUUCCUGUACAUAUGAGUUCCCAACUUUCAAUUCCAAACUUGAGUUUGAAAAUUUAAAACAACUGUUAAAGAAGAUGAUUUAAAAAAAAAAUUCAAAUUGAGAGAAAGCAAGUUGUUUAAAACUGUUGUUUUAAAGAAGCAGCUGGUAGCAUGUGUCAGGACAAUUUGCAGCUAUUAUCACCUCUUUAAGAUACUGAGAAAAUUGAAUUGCUGACUAAUGUACUUGUGGAUGAAGGUCACCUUUCAAGAACCCAGUGACUGCAGUAGGACCCUACUUUAAAAAUCCAUCUUGCAAUGUUUCAUUUGGGAAAG